rnacentral:rRNA from 1 species
GACAGAGGGUGCAAACGUUGUUCGGAAUUACUGGGCGUAAAGCGUGUGUAGGCGGCUUUGCAAGUCGGAUGUGAAAGCCCCGGGCUCAACCCGGGAAGUGCACUCGAUACUGCGGAGCUUGAGUGUCGGAGAGGUUGGUGGAAUUCUCGGUGUAGAGGUGAAAUUCGUAGAGAUGCGGAGGAACACCAGUGGCGAAGGCGGCUUACUGGUCCGGUUCUGACGCUGAGGCGCGAAAGCGUGGGGAGCAAACAGG